rnacentral:rRNA from 1 species
AUUAGACGCUGGCGGCAGGCCUAACACAUGCAAGUCGAACGGUAACAGGAAGAAGCUUGCUUCUUUGCUGACGAGUGGCGGACGGGUGAGUAAUGUCUGGGAAACUGCCUGAUGGAGGGGGAUAACUACUGGAAACGGUAGCUAAUACCGCAUAACGUCGCAAGACCAAAGAGGGGGACCUUCGGGCCUCUUGCCAUCGGAUGUGCCCAGAUGGGAUUAGCUAGUAGGUGGGGUAACGGCUCACCUAGGCGACGAUCCCUAGCUGGUCUGAGAGGAUGACCAGCCACACUGGAACUGAGACACGGUCCAGACUCCUACGGGAGGCAGCAGUGGGGAAUAUUGCACAAUGGGCGCAAGCCUGAUGCAGCCAUGCCGCGUGUAUGAAGAAGGCCUUCGGGUUGUAAAGUACUUUCAGCGGGGAGGAAGGGAGUAAAGUUAAUACCUUUGCUCAUUGACGUUACCCGCAGAAGAAGCACCGGCUAACUCCGUG